AAUGUCUGGGAAACUGCCUGAUGGGGGGGGAUAACUACUGGAAACGGUAGCUAAUACCGCAUAACGUCGCAAGACCAAAGAGGGGGACCUUAGGGCCUCUUGCCAUCGGAUGUGCCCAGAUGGGAUUAGCUAGUAGGUGGGGUAACGGCUCACCUAGGCGACGAUCCCUAGCUGGUCUGAGAGGAUGACCAGCCACACUGGAACUGAGACACGGUCCAGACUCCUACGGGAGGCAGCAGUGGGGAAUAUUGCACAAUGGGCGCAAGCCUGAUGCAGCCAUGCCGCGUGUAUGAAGAAGGCCUUCGGGUUGUAAAGUACUUUCAGCGGGGAGGAAGGGAGUAAAGUUAAUACCUUUGCUCAUUGACGUUACCCGCAGAAGAAGCACCGGCUAACUCCGUGCCAGCAGCCGCGGUAAUACGGAGGGUGCAAGCGUUAAUCGGAAUUACUGGGCGUAAAGCGCACGCAGGCGGUUUGUUAAGUCAGAUGUGAAAUCCCCGGGCUCAACCUGGGAACUGCAUCUGAUACUGGCAAGCUUGAGUCUCGUAGAGGGGGGUAGAAUUCCAGGUGUAGCGGUGAAAUGCGUAGAGAUCUGGAGGAAUACCGGUGGCGAAGGCGGCCCCCUGGACGAAGACUGACGCUCAGGUGCGAAAGCGUGGGGAGCAAACAGGAUUAGAUACCCUGGUAGUCCACGCCGUAAACGAUGUCGACUUGGAGGUUGUGCCCUUGAGGCGUGGCUUCCGGAGCUAACGCGUUAAGUCGACCGCCUGGGGAGUACGGCCGCAAGGUUAAAACUCAAAUGAAUUGACGGGGGCCCGCACAAGCGGUGGAGCAUGUGGUUUAAUUCGAUGCAACGCGAAGAACCUUACCUGGUCUUGACAUCCACGGAAGUUUUCAGAGAUGAGAAUGUGCCUUCGGGAACCGUGAGACAGGUGCUGCAUGGCUGUCGUCAGCUCGUGUUGUGAAAUGUUGGGUUAAGUCCCGCAACGAGCGCAACCCUUAUCCUUUGUUGCCAGCGGUCCGGCCGGGAACUCAAAGGAGACUGCCAGUGAUAAAC
rnacentral:rRNA from 1 species